rnacentral:rRNA from 1 species
CACUCCUGCGGGAGGCAGCAGUGGGGAAUAUUGGACAAUGGGCGCAAGCCUGAUCCAGCCAUGCCGCGUGAGUGAUGAAGGCCCUAGGGUUGUAAAGCUCUUUCACCGGUGAAGAUAAUGACGGUAACCGGAGAAGAAGCCCCGGCUAACUUCGUGCCAGCAGCCGCGGUAAUACGAAGGGGGCUAGCGUUGUUCGGAUUUACUGGGCGUAAAGCGCACGUAGGCGGACUAUUAAGUCAGGGGUGAAAUCCCGGGGCUCAACCCCGGAACUGCCUUUGAUACUGGUAGUCUUGAGUUCGAGAGAGGUGAGUGGAAUUCCGAGUGUAGAGGUGAAAUUCGUAGAUAUUCGGAGGAACACCAGUGGCGAAGGCGGCUCACUGGCUCGAUACUGACGCUGAGGUGCGAAAGCGUGGGGAGCAAACAGGAUUAGAUACCCGGGUAGUCCCAUGAU